UACGUAGGGUGCGAGCGUUGUCCGGAAUUAUUGGGCGUAAAGAGCUCGUAGGCGGUGUGUCGCGUCGGUCGUGAAAACUUGGGGCUUAACCCUGAGCUUGCGGUCGAUACGGGCAUCACUGGAGUUCGGCAGGGGAGACUGGAAUUCCUGGUGUAGCGGUGAAAUGCGUAGAUAUCAGGAGGAACACCGGUGGCGAAGGCGGGUCUCUGGGCCGAUAUUGACGCUGAGGAGCGAAAGCGUGGGGAGCGAACAGG
rnacentral:rRNA from 1 species